AAAUGAAGGUAGAAAAAUCAGUUGCUCCCUAACUAACAAAGAAGAGCAAAAGCGCUGAAGUAUGGUCCUCAUAACAUCAAAUCCUGAAGCCAAAUUCAAACAGAUACGAUAAAGAAAAUAAUCAAAUUCAAAGCCCUGAAUAAAUUAAAACUUAAGAAAAACCAAUAAAACCCACAAGUAGCAAUCAAUCAAGAAGAGAAAAAUCUAACACAACAGAUAAUCUGUGAUGAAUUGACUCGGACACCAAUCAACAAAAGUAAUCAAGCAUGGAAUUCAAAGACCUACCUGAUGAAUCACGAGCUCCUCCUUAAAAAAGAGAAGAAGGUAAAAAUAAAAAAAUAAAAAAAAAAAAUCCCCGCAAAAUGGAUAGUGAAAGGACGAGGAAGGAUGACUGUUUUUCCCCUUUUCCAGUUUUUUUACAGAGGGAAACGGAAACCGCAGUGAAAAAGCAAAGUCUGCGUAGUGCUUUGAAAAUCCAAGACUUAAUUUAAUACGGGGAGAAGCUAAAGAAAAGGAAUGUAAAAGGAUUAGGGGUUCAUGUGUGAAUCCGAGAUUCACAUGGAAGGAAGACGAAUUAGAGUAAGUCAAAUGAAGAGGCCAGAAUUAGGGGACGACGACUAGACUGCAAUAUGUAAGAGGGCAGGGGACUUUUUGAGUAGUUGCUUGACUGGCUUUUUGGAGGGGAGAAAGUGAAAUUCAUAUUUUAAUUGUUGAGAAAGGAGUUUGUUCGAUUACCUUUGAAAAACACACAGUUUGAUGAAAUUGUGACUUCAAUGCCGUCCAUGUCGUGCCAAUCUUAAGCUGAAAUCUCCCGCUCUCACUGUGUAUUUGCUUUUUAUUUUCUUUUUCUUUUUCUCGAGAAAAAUAUCCGCGAAAGAAAAUGUUUACAUGUCGUUUAGAUUUAACUUUUAUCCUUAAAACUUUUCUUUACGGUA
rnacentral:lncRNA from 1 species